rnacentral:rRNA from 1 species
UACAGAGGGUGCGAGCGUUAAUCGGAAUUACUGGGCGUAAAGCGUGCGUAGACGGUAGCGUAAGUCAGAUGUGAAAGCCCCGGGCUCAACCUGGGAAUUGCAUUUGAGGCUGCGUAGCUAGGGUGCGGAAGAGGGAAGCGGAAUUUCCGGUGUAGCGGUGAAAUGCGUAGAUAUCGGAAGGAACACCAGUGGCGAAAGCGGCUUCCUGGUCCAGCACCGACGUUCAGGCACGAAAGCGUGGGGAGCAAACAGG